CCAAUAGCGUAUAUUAAAGUUGUUGCAGUUAAAAAGCUCGUAGUUGAAUUUCGAGACCGGUUUAUUGGUCGUGCUUUUGUACGUACUGGUAUUAUUUGUUUCUCCUUUCUGACGAAUCUUAAUGCCAUUAUUUUGGUGUUUUGGGGAAUCAGGACUGUUACUUUGAAAAAAUUAGAGUGUUUAAAGCAGGCUCACGCUUGAAUACAUUAGCAUGGAAUAACGGAAUAGGACGUUUGAUUCUAUUUUGUUGGUUUUUAUGAUCGACGUAAUGGUGAAUAGGGAUAGUUGGGGGCAUUAGUAUUCAAUUGUCAGAGGUGAAAUUCUUGGAUUUAUUGAAGACUAACUACUGCGAAAGCAUUUGCCAAGGAUGUUUUCAUUAAUCAAGAACGAAAGUUAGGGGAUCGAAGACGAUCAGAUACCGUCGUAGUCUUAACCAUAAACUAUGCCGACUAGGGAUCGGAUGAUGUUAAUUUUUUAAUGACUCAUUCGGCGCCUUACG
rnacentral:rRNA from 1 species